AUUUUUGGAGAAUGGGGGAAACCCUGCUCCAGCCAUCCCGCGUGUAUGAUGAAGGCCUUUGGGUUGUUAUGUACUUUUCUCAGAGACGAAAAGGUACCUCCUAAUACGAGCUACUUCUGAUGGUUUCCGCUGAACAUGCACCGGCUACCUACGUGCCAGCAGCCGCGGUAAUACGUAGGGUGCAAGCGCUAGUCGGAAUUACUGGGCGUAAAGCGUGUGUAGGCGGUUCGGAAAGAAAGAUGUGAAAACCCAGGGCUCAACCUUGGAACUGCAUUUUUAACUGCCGAGCUAGAGUAUGUCAGAGGGGGGUAGAAUUCCACGUGUAGCAGUGAAAUGCGUAGAUAUGUGGAGGAAUACCGAUGGCGAAGGCAGCCCCCUGGGAUAAUACUGACGCUCAGACACGAAAGCGUGGGGAGCAAACAG
rnacentral:rRNA from 1 species